rnacentral:rRNA from 1 species
AGCGAACGCUGGCGGCAGGCCUAACACAUGCAAGUCGAACGAACUCUUCGGAGUUAGUGGCGGACGGGUGAGUAACACGUGGGAACGUGCCUUUAGGUUCGGAAUAACUCAGGGAAACUUGUGCUAAUACCGAAUGUGCCCUUCGGGGGAAAGAUUUAUCGCCUUUAGAGCGGCCCGCGUCUGAUUAGCUAGUUGGUGAGGUAAAGGCUCACCAAGGCGACGAUCAGUAGCUGGUCUGAGAGGAUGAUCAGCCACAUUGGGACUGAGACACGGCCCAAACUCCUACGGGAGGCAGCAGUGGGGAAUCUUGCGCAAUGGGCGAAAGCCUGACGCAGCCAUGCCGCGUGAAUGAUGAAGGUCUUAGGAUUGUAAAAUUCUUUCACCGGGGACGAUAAUGACGGUACCCGGAGAAGAAGCCCCGGCUAACUUCGUGCCAGCCGCCGCCGUAAGAC